rnacentral:rRNA from 1 species
UACGUAGGUGGCAAGCGUUGUCCGGAUUUACUGGGCGUAAAGAGCGCGCAGGCGGUCGUUCAAGUCGCGUGUGAAAGCCCCCGGCUCAACUGGGGAGGGUCACGCGAUACUGAUCGACUCGAAGGCAGGAGAGGGUAGUGGAAUUCCCGGUGUAGUGGUGAAAUGCGUAGAUAUCGGGAGGAACACCAGUGGCGAAGGCGACUACCUGGCCUGUUCUUGACGCUGAGGCGCGAAAGCGUGGGGAGCGAACAGG